rnacentral:rRNA from 1 species
AUUGAACGCUAGCGGCAUGCCUUACACAUGCAAGUCGAACGGAGUGGCGAACGGGUGAGUAAUGUCUCGUACCGUGCCCAUUAGUGGGGGAUAACUACGCGUAAGCGUAGCUAAUACCGCAUACUUUUGGAGCGGCUGAUAUCGGAUUAGCUAGGUGGUGGGGUAACGGCUCACCAAGGCGACGAUCCGUAGCCGGUUUGAGAGGGCGACCAGCCACACUGGGACUGAGACACGGCCCAGACUCCUACGGGAGGCAGCAGUGGGGAAUUUUGGACAAUGGGGGAAAGCCUGAUCCAGCAAUGCCGCGUGUGCGAAGAAGGCCUUCGGGUUGUAAAGCACUUUUGGCAGGGAAGCGGUACCUGCAGAAUAAGCACCGGCUAACUACGUGCCAGCAGCCGCGGUAAUAC